rnacentral:ncRNA from 1 species
UGAUAGAGGUCGCGGUCGUCAAGAGUAGCCCACCAUGCAGCAGGCAAGCGCGGGUGGCGCGAAAGGGGAGACCGCCGAGGAACGGACGAGAGGGCCUGAUCGAGUCCGUAUCCGGGGCAGGGGAGAACAUCCGCUGCACUGUCGCCCGGGGGGCGGAGAGCUGUCA